rnacentral:rRNA from 1 species
UUUACCAAAAACAUCACCUCUAGCAUUUUAAGUAUUAGAGGCACUGCCUGCCCAGUGACAUCUGUUCAACGGCCGCGGUAUCCUGACCGUGCAAAGGUAGCAUAAUCACUUGUUCCCUAAAUAGGGACUUGUAUGAAUGGCCACACGAGGGUUUUACUGUCUCUUACUUCCAAUCAGUGAAAUUGACCUUCCCGUGAAGAGGCGGGAAUAAUACAACAAGACGAGAAGACCCUAUGGAGCUUCAAUUAACUAAUCCAAUAAAGACAAACUACCUCCCACCCAGGACUCAACUUCCCUUUACCAUGGAUUAGCAAUUUAGGUUGGGGUGACCUCGGAGAACAAAAAAACCUCCGAGUGAUUAAAAUCUAGACUAACCAGUCAAAACACAACAUCACUUAUUGAUCCAAAAUUUGAUCAACGGAACAAGUUACCCUAGGGAUAACAGCGCAAUCCUAUUUAAGAGUUCAUAUCGACAAUUAGGGUUUACGACCUCGAUGUUGGAUCAGGACAUCCUAAUGGUGCAGCCGCUAU